GUACACCCUAACUGGUACGCGGCACCUACAUUGAAACUUUGCUUUGUUAUAGUGAAGUUGACUGCGAUACUCGUCACAAAUGUCAUAUAAACGUCGAUCAGAAAGAGUGGCUGUCAAACGAUGACUAGCUAUUUUGAUUGAAAUACUGUUGUAGCUUUAUUCCAUAGAGGUUCUAUUAUAGAGUAUGUAAUUGGAUAUAAUUAGCUCUCGGCAUUAUACUUAUGUGCUUUCUGUUCCCGAAUAGUUACUUAUUUAUAAAUUUGCGUGAUUAGAAGUAAAGUUUGAGAUUGCGUAUAUUGUAGUUACAGCUAAUAAUUGGUAUAGAUUUUCAGGUACAUGCAACGGCUUUAAUAGUAGCUCGUAAAUAGUAGUAUUUUGGCUGCUUAUUUUCACUAUUGAAACCUGUAGAUCCAUUCCCAACGGAAUUAGGAAAGCUUACAAACGAAAAUUUUAAUCGCUGCGCUUAUCGCUGCGACAAUAAACAACGAUUAAAAUUA